AUCCCAGAUAAGCUGAGAUUUGGUGCUUGUCUGAUUCAUGGGAGGCCUAAAACAACGGUGGAAGUUUCGCUGAUAAUGCCUUUAUGUUCUUGAAAGGCAUUUGUUAGUAACUUUGCCAUACAUUU
rnacentral:snoRNA from 1 species